UACGAAGGGGGCUAGCGUUGUUCGGAAUUACUGGGCGUAAAGCGCACGUAGGCGGAUAUUUAAGUCAGGGGUGAAAUCCCGGGGCUCAACCCCGGAACUGCCUUUGAUACUGGGUAUCUAGAGUCCGGAAGAGGUGAGUGGAAUUCCGAGUGUAGAGGUGAAAUGCGUAGAUAUCUGGAGGAACACCCGUGGCGAAGGCGGCCAGCUGGGCCGUCCCUGACGCUGAGGCGCGAAGGCGUGGGGAGCGAACGGG
rnacentral:rRNA from 1 species